rnacentral:rRNA from 1 species
GACGAACGCUGGCGGCGUGCUUAACACAUGCAAGUCGAACGGAAAGGCCCUGCUUUUGUGGGGUGCUCGAGUGGCGAACGGGUGAGUAACACGUGAGUAACCUGCCCUUGACUUUGGGAUAACUUCAGGAAACUGGGGCUAAUACCGGAUAGGAGCUCCUGCUGCAUGGUGGGGGUUGGAAAGUUUCGGCGGUUGGGGAUGGACUCGCGGCUUAUCAGCUUGUUGGUUGGGUAGUGGCUUACCAAGGCUUUGACGGGUAGCCGGCCUGAGAGGGUGACCGGCCACAUUGGGACUGAGAUGCGGCCCAGACUCCUACGGGAGGCAGCAGUGGAGAAUAUUGCACAAUGGGCGGAAGCCUGAUGCAGCAACGCAGCGUGCGGGAUGGCGGCCUUCGGGUUGUAAACCGCUUUCGCCUGUGACGAAGCGUGAGUGACGGUAAUGGGUAAAGAAGCACCGGCUAACUACGUG